AUACCCAAUGAUACCACUCUUGGGUAUAUACCCAAUGGAUGCUCAAUCAUACCACAAGGAUAAUCAUUACUACAACCCAUACCUCCAGAGAAGCUAGGAAGCAAGGAGGUUCCUAAGAGUGUACAUGCCUGGUGCCAGUGGAGAACAGAAGAGGGCAGUGGAUUCCUGGAAGCCUGAGUUACAGAUGGUUGGGAGUCAGCAUGACUUCAGGUCAAAGGAUCAGAGAGGUACUUACACAAAGGUAUAUCAUCAAAGAAUGCCAUCAAAGUGUUGAAGAUUUAGAAGAGACAAACCAAGAGCUUAGGAAAU